CAACUUUCAGCAACGGAUCUCUUGGCUCUCGCAUCGAUGAAGAACGCAGCGAAUCGCGAUAAGUAAUGUGAAUUGCAGAUUUCCAGUGAAUCAUCGAAUCUUUGAACGCACUUUGCGCUCCUUGGUACUCCGAGGAGCAUGCCUGUUUGAGUGUCAUAU
rnacentral:rRNA from 1 species